UGGUGUCAUCUGAAUUCUGAAGCUGACAUAUUAAACGAAAAUGUCAACAAAUAGAUUUUGUCUCCCCAUCAGCAGAUUGUUCAGUUGUUCUGCAAUAGGCGUAGCCUUCAAGGUGCCAUUAAAACGAUAUGCCAUUGACUUAGUAUUUCUAUAUAUGAAAUUGUUAUUAAAUUCUACAUGUUCAAUGGAUUCAUUCAAGUAUUAUUAUUGUUUAUACAUAUGGUAUUAUUGUACAGCGGUCAGUAUAAUCUGCAGACCAGACUGGGUACAAAACGCAGACUGAGGAUAAAAUGCAGACCGGGGGUGAAUUAGGGAUAUUUCAC